ACAUUUACUACUUGGCCCUUGACUAAUGUACAAAACGCCUUUCCUCCCCCGGAGCUAGUUAUAAUCAUAUACCAUCACUGCAGCUGUAAUAUUAAUGAAAUACCCUUUGCAGUACUUAUGCAGUCUCUUACUAACAAGCCACUUGCCAUUAGUGAAACUGGACAUGCUCAGUCAGACCUCUCAGAUGUGCAGGAGUAUUGCGUUUCUCUGAGAGAUGGCUGACCUCCACCUUCUCUCAGUCUCAAUGCGUUAGAAAUAUUAACCAGGAGCUUUCUGACAACCCCCACAUCUCUAGAUAACCCAGAUUUCUAUAUUUUGUAGUAAGCAAAUCAAGAAAAAGAAACGUAGAAAGUAAUCCUUCAAGCAAAAAUGGACCUGGAGACAUCUCGUGCACAGGUUUACUGUUUCUCAGGGUCCCAGCUUUGGUUCCCCCUUUACCCCUGCCCUCUUCUUCAACAUACCGACUCAAAGAAGAGAAAGAUUAUGAAAAAAGAUUAAAGGAGUGAACAGCACAUCUUCCUAAUUACAGUAUUUGAAUCUAGGUUUUUAAGUAUUUUUAAAAGUAAAUUACAAUUCAAUAGGUAACACAAUCUUAUUGCAGGUAAGACAAUUAAACAGUAUGUAUUUCUUAGCUGAGCUUCAUUCUCAAGAACUCACCAUAGCUACAACAGGUCCAGAAUGCAUGUACUGCACCAGACCAUCAUAGAAUGGCCGGUCUUUUAGGUCAAUGUAGUGUUCUCUCAGAAGGUCUUCAGAGGCCUGCAUUAAAAACCAACCAACCAACCAAAAAAAGCUUACUGUAAGAACUUAAGAGCAUACUGAAAUCACAUAGAUUAACCACAGAGCACUAUUAAUCCUAAAACUUGCACGCAAUUGAAAAUUCAGCAUUUCUAGCAUGUUCCUAGAGUACUUUUGGUUUAUAUGAAUUUGAACCGUUUGCUUUAACCACAGCUGAACUUAGAAAAGUAUCUUUUACCAAUAUAGACGGAUUAUGGGACCUGGCAUUUCUUGAAGAUAUUCAGAGAUGUUUAUUAGGUAUAAGAUGCACCUAAAAGAAUAUUCUCUUCAGACUAAGGACAUCAAGUUACUAAAAUUAGCAUGCUUAGCAUGUCUAAAGCAUUUAGCCAGAGCUGGAAAUUGGAACUUUUCCAAAAAUACCCCAAAUAUUCAAAGACUUCUCAAAAUUUGAGGUUUAAUUGUUCUGAAGACUACAUUUGUCAUUAUGGCGCGCUGCUCUAUUUCAAGGCUGCAGUCUAUAUGAAAAAGGAGAUGCACAAAUUAAGGAAAGCUUACAUGUAUUAAUUUCAUGGCGACCAGUUUGAAUCCUUUCUGUUCAAACCGCUUGAUGAUUUCUCCCACCAGUCCCCGCUGGACUCCGUCAGGCUUGAUGGCGAUGAACGUGCGCUCAGAGAUAGAAGCCAUCGUCCUAAGCGGGAAGGAAAUAAGAGUUGUUAUUCCAGGACCAGCAGGCAAGUACAAUCACAGGCCUGCAUCGCGUGUACUAGCAGCUAUUAUUUAAUUAAAGCGGCUACAUCUGAAGGUCAGUAACCCAUGA